UGAAAAACAGAGCAAUUUCGUCUCCCAACACCACCACCUCCACCCUUGGAAUAAAUCCUGCGAAGUAUAAAUAGUGAGAAGCCAAAGAAUUAGGGGGGAUGCUAAACAGUGGGAGUCUUUCUGUAACACUGAAGUGUGAGAACUGAGGAGGGUGAGUCUGUCUGGGUGAAUCAUGAGCUGACGGUGUUUUGCUUACAGCCCUUUCCUUAAUGUAUAGUCUCAUUGCUUCAAAUGUGAGACUGUUCCCCUGCAGACAAUCCAGCAAGGGGAGAAUUCAACACCUUGGGAUUUUCCAUGAAAAAACUGAAAUAAAAUAAAUUGAGCAUCUGUUAUAUAUUUCAGUUGGAGGGUGAACUUUUAGUUAAUACCGGUUCAUAACAGUGACGUAGGCCCGGGGAGGGUAACACUGAUGGCACCUAUACCAAUUAAAUAUUUACAGGGCUGUUCUCUGGCACUAAGGCCAGCUGGGCUAAAAUAGGCUGUGUCCAUACUAUUAAAAAGUCUUAGUUCCCAAAUCAGGAUGGCCUCAUGCAAGCAGUCAGUGUGGAGUAGUCCUUGUCUCACACUAAUUUCCAAGCAUAAUUUAAAAUCAAGCUUUUUUUUCGGUGUUUUUGUAUGGUGCUGGGCCCACACAGUAGAUGGGUUAGCUCACUGCUAGCCAGGCUCCCGACUUCCACGUCCUACUGGCAUGGAAAAUCAAACUAGAAUAUUAGAUAUGAGUUCUGGAUCUUUGUCUUCAUAAACCUGAGCCUGAUUCAACCAUCAAAGUGUGUUAAUUUAUUGAAAAUACUUAUUAUAGGAUUCAUCUUCCUAAUUUCAGCCCCUAAAAGGUGUGUACCUUGAAGAACCUGUAUAUUUAACCUCUUUCUUUAGCUGAUAAAGAGAAAGGACUCUGUGGAUGGUAAUUUGUCCCACCAGGGAUGAUUUUUAAAAUGUAUCAUCCUCACUUGUACUUAUGUUAAAAAAUGGUGGUUGAAGUGUUUUGAUUGGUUUUUUUUUUUGCAUUUAUUUUUGAUCUGGUUCAGAAUGUAGCUAGCAAAGAAGAGGAGCAUGAGUCAGUAAACUGAGAAGGAGAGCAAGAAUGAGUUAAAACAGGUAGGGGUAUUUUAAAUCAAUUUUGCUUUGACAGCAGUCACAACACGGUUGAUUUAGUAAAAUAUUGAGUGAUCAAAAAAUAACUUAGUGAUUUUGAAUUCUUGAACACAGGGAAUAGGGAUUUAUCUCUGCCACCGUCAAUGUCUCCUUCUUAGUAACUCAUCCCAGGCUUCCUUUACAGCUGAUAAAUGCUGGUUAGCACAGCCACAGAAAUAUGGAUGUGCUGUUUGGAAGUGAUCUUUGGAGAACCCUAGUCCAACCUGUCGCUCAAAACAGGGAUAAAAGUAUUGUCAGUAUUGUCAUUGGGCGCAUCGUCAAGGUCGAGAUGAAGGUUGACAUGGAAGAAUCACAGGCGUAUGCAGAUAGACUUCAUGCGCGAUGGUAUGUAUGUAUGAUACUCAGAUGCAGUCAGUUUACAUAAAGGUGAACAAAACCCAAGAGCUCAGGGAUGAAAAGUCACACAAACAUAGUGCACAUCAAACCACUGUGCUCCAGACUUUAUUUAGCUGCUUCUUAAAAUGAGCUGGGCUCUUCUCACCCACCACUGUUAUGGAGAGACUAUUUCUAAGUGUCCCCCUUUGCCUAUUAGAAAAGAGAAGAGUAAGGAAAAAUGAAGCCCACGAGGCACCGCAGCUGUACAUCUUUACCAAAAUAUUUCCAUUAUGUCUCUCUCUUAUGGUUAGGUCAAAAUACAUAUUUUUAGGGUUUUUUUCUUUUUAUUUUUUCCACAGGAAGUAGGCACAUUUCACAAGUCACAAAACCAAAAUCCAAAAGCCCAAUUUCCCAUUAAGUGUCGGUUUUGAUGGAGCAUUUUGCCAAAGCCACGUUGACUAAACUGCAGGGCAGAACACCGCUGUGCUUUUGCAAAGCAACAGCAAGCACAAUAAAGAGCAAAGCAAAGGAAAAAUAAAAGACUGGAAGGCCUGAGAAACACUGACUGGCAGGAGACAGAGAGGCAACACGUCUGACUUGCCCCGUGCCCGCUCUUGAAGAGGUUUAGUCUAGGCUGAGCUGUCUGCACAGCCUUGCCGCGCAAAGCCGAAAUGCCUGCCCGCUGUCGUUUCCCAGCAGCACAACGCAGCCCCCGACAGGCUUUCUCUCUUUUGCCUUUCAUGUUGAUGAGAAGGGCAGGUCGGUGUUAGCAAUCCCUCUGCAGCUCCGGUCUGAUGCCUCGCUGAAGGGAGAUGACAUUUCACCGCUGAAAGGCAGAGGGGUGAUUAGCAGGGAUAUAAUGAAGCACGCAGAUACUGAUCUUUUGCCAUCUCUCCGGAGAGCCAUCCGACAGGGAUGCCUGAAGAAGGAGAUACAGAUCAGCCUUGGUGACUCCUUCGGCCUGCUGGAACGGCUUCAGAGGGCGUCGGAUGUCAAAGGCAGAGCGGAGCCCCCCUGCAUCACUGCAUCUUGUCAGCUGCAGGCUCCGAACGGGGCUUCUGGGGUUCAGCUAUGCAGGUACUGGAUAACGGCACCAAGCUUCAUGCUGCAGUGAUAUUCCCAGUAAUCUCUCCAGGUAGAACUUUCUUUGGGGAAUUCCUCAUUGUGAGAUUUUUCUCUUUAUUAGUGUAAGCCAGGUGAGAGUUUCGGAGGUCUAAUUCACCAUGUAAUUGGCCAGGUUUACACUGCGUGGCUUGCUCUGAUUUGGGCAGAAUAAAACCAUACCCAACCUGGAGAGCCAGAAAGGUCCUUGUGCUGCUCUCCUUUGGUCCAGCAAAGUUUCCAACAUGGCACUCCUGUCUGUGUCCACCAGGACAGUAAUUUCCAUGGGGGACCCUUAGGCACCUGAAAUGACUUGAUGCAACACACCCCCGGCGCUGUUUCUAAUGCAGAGUGUGAGACUGAAGUCUAAACCACAACUCCCUUGGUACCAGCUACCUGCAUGGCUCCGGGGCCAGACACCUGGGUGGUACCCCCAGUUUUUACAGUCAGUGGGAGAUGUCAUCCACUCCUUGUGCAUUUAGAGGCUUUGAUAGCAUAGACCAGCAUAGUUUCUGCUGUGCUAUGUUUAUUUUCACCAGCUCAGGAUCAAUCCCUAAUGCUUUUAAAAGACAUUAAAUGAAAUAUUGGCCACCAGGGGAGGCACCAUCAUAGAAUUUAAUCUGUUUUGCUAUCUCUCUUCCAAGACAAGCAACCUUUUUUUUUAAAAAAAAAAAAACACAACAAAAGAGAAAAGGAAAAAGGACCCAUUAAAGUGGCAAGAUCUGAGUUUAAAAACCAGAGAAAACAGAUUGAAUGACUGGCUUUACAACAUGUCCCACUUCAGAAAGUGAAGGAGGAUGUGGUUUGUCUUUGUUUCAUUCACAUCGCUCGGUGCUAUAGGUUUAUCCCAGUUUGGAAAAGGGGGACAUUAGCUCUGCUUGAUGCAUUGGUCGAGGGGAUCAGAAAACUCUUCUGGUACUGUAUUAACUUUCUUGAGGGGUGGCUCUGUGUGUUGGUUUUUUUUUUCCCCCCUCAGUGAGAAUUUAUGACUGGUGAUUCAGAAAGUGAACCGGUGUUUAUUUUCCUUUUCCUAUGAUACUCCACACUGCCUAUGGUUCCAGGAAACAUGACAUAGCUGUUAUUGCUAGGAAUGAGCUUUCUGCCAGUGGUUUACAUUCACAACUGGCUUCUGAAGGAAGGAAUUUCUGGCACUGCUCCUCAAACUGUAUAGUUUUGUCCUUUGCAGCAUUCCUGAGCAUUUUAUUUUUUUCCAGAUUUGCAAAUCCAAACAGAAGAUAAUUAAGAGUUGCCACUUGGGACUGAGGAUUGGGUGUGUGUAUCUUCUCCUCACUUUGAUUAAUCUCUGAAACAGCUUAAUGCAUUCCCCAGUGUUUGCAUUCUGCAAGAUCCAGAAGAAUUUGCAUCCAUUUAUGGCCAUGUGCUACACCCUCAGGGGGGCAAAAUGGCAUCACUUCAUUGACAGCCACGUGGGUAAAUUCUGCCUGUGCAGGCAGAUGCAGCUCCAGUACCACACAGUGUUAGAUCCACAAGAGAUACAAAUGUUAUUAUAGUGCUGCCCAGCAUCCAGUGGUUUUAGGGAAAAAUCUGGCUGAAGAGAUGAAUUAUAUCUAGUGCACUUGAAAUUACCAGUUGUCCAAUGAAUGGCCAGUUGAAUUCUCUUUGCGUGUUGGUAGAACAGCAAGAGCCGCUGGCAAAGCACUGGAAACAUUCAACACCAGGUUGGCUGGGGCUCUGAGCAACCCGAUCGGGUUGAAGAUGUCGCUGCUUACUGCAGGAGGUUGGACUGGAUGGCCUCAAAAGGUCCCUUCCAACCCAAACCAUCCUAUGAUUCUAUGAAAGUGAUGUAUUCACAGGAAGAUUCAUUAAAAGGCAACUUGUGAUGUUGUAGUUACCCUUACACUGAAGCUCUGAAUGGAGAUGAAGAUGAAAACCAAGGCAGACGGGCACAAGGAUAUCAAAUAAGUGCUUUGUAUUUUGUGCGUUGACACGAACAAAUACGGUCAAUAGGAAGAAGAACCAUUCCACAUAACAACAGAGGUGGACGAUGUUUUCUCAAUGCUUUUUCCCCACAGUUCUCAUCAAAAUCUUGAAGUUUGCUGGCCUAGAACAGCAAUUCACUAAACACCAUUUGAUUUUGCUGGUUUUGGCUAGCAUCAGUCUGCCCCGUGGUGUCUAUCUGGGUCUUAAGGAAAUAACAAGCGGUUAACAAAUAAAAGCCUAAUUGUGCCAGAUGUGGGACGUUUUGGCAGUCUUUGAGUUCCAACAGUCUGAUUACGAUUCCUUUAUUCAUUCAUUUCAGGGAACAAAACCUUGUAAGAAAGUCUUCUUGGAAACACCACCAAAAUUGAUGCUUUUAAUUAAAAAAAAAAAACCCAAAGAAACUGAGCAAAUGAAAAGAAUAAUUGCAAUUGAGGCUUUUUGGUCUGAAUUUUCCUACUGGAAAGUUGGAAAAGGUCACUGAAAUAAACACGUUUUUGCCUGUG